UACGUAGGUGGCAAGCGUUGUCCGGAUUUACUGGGCGUAAAGAGCGCGCAGGCGGUUGGAUAAGUCGAAUGUGAAAGCCCCCGGCUUAACUGGGGAGGGUCAUUCGAUACUGUUCAACUUGAAGGCAGGAGAGGGCAGCAGAAUUCCCGGUGUAGUGGUGAAAUGCGUAGAUAUCGGGAGGAAUACCAGUGGCGAAGGCGGCUGCCUGGCCUGUUCUUGACGCUGAGGCGCGAAAGCUAGGGGAGCAAACGGG
rnacentral:rRNA from 1 species